CACAAUUGGAAACAGACUUGCAAAACGUUAUAAAACCCUCCACUUAUUAAACCACGGUAAAAUCCUACAGAUUCCAAUACACGACAUCCGACUUAUAUUGCCAAAAAUUUUUUUAAAUUAAAUUUAUAAUUACAUACCUUUUGGAGAGGAAACUUUGCAGCCAAAUCUGCAGAGAAUUUAUGAGGAUAAGUCUCAACAAGAUCAACUUGGAGAUCAAGGAGUUUAGCCAACUCCAAAAGGCAAACAGUUCUCGUAUUAGUUUUGAAAGAAUAUAAUGUGCCCAAAAACAUGAUGAUAUAUUUCGAAAAUGAAUUGAGGUUGGUUUGUGGAGAGUGAGUCGCUGGCCUGAAAACACAUAUAGCAACAAUAUAAAUGAGAUGAAAGAAGAGAAUUCUAGGUUUGUAAAAAAUGGACUUUUUACAACAAUAAAUUAACAUCUACAGAAAAAUAAAUCAAUUAGGGGUUCAAAUGUAAAAAUUACGAGAACGAGCUUUGUACAAUGGAAAAAGGCAAUUGGUAAGCAUAACGACCUAUACUUUUUCUCAAGUAAAUUAAUUCUCUAUCUUUCGCAUUGAUUGAACAAAAUAAAGAUCAUUACUGGUAUUGCAAGCAAUAUACUGCUAGCUUCCAUCAAUAGCUUAGGUACAUUAAUGUUUUUUGGGUCAUGGGACAGGUGUUUGUAGUGAGUUCAGUUAAGGUCUCAAAAAAAGGAGAAAUUAAACGAAAUUAAAAGGUUUCCUCCUCUAAGGCUUAAAUGAACACUCAUCCGCAUUGCUCAUAUAAAAAAGUGAAAGUAAAGAACCAUCAGCUGGACAAAAUAUGAAAUGAGUCAAAUGAGUGAAAUAGAUAGUUAAUUAAUUCCCCGAAAACACAUUUAACUAUAUC